rnacentral:rRNA from 1 species
AUUGAACGCUGGCGGCAUGCUUUACACAUGCAAGUCGAACGGUAACAGGCCUUCGGGUGCUGACGAGUGGCGAACGGGUGAGUAAUGCAUCGGAACGUACCCAGAGGUGGGGGAUAACGCAGCGAAAGCUGUGCUAAUACCGCAUGUGAUCUGAGGAUGAAAGCGGGGGACCGAGCAGCAAUGUUUGGCCUCGCGCCUUUGGAGCGGCCGAUGUCGGAUUAGCUAGUUGGUGGGGUAAAGGCCUACCAAGGCGACGAUCCGUAGCUGGUCUGAGAGGACGGCCGGCCACACUGGGACGGAGACACGGCCCAGACGCCUACGGGAGGCAGCAGUGGGGAAUUUUGGACAAUGGGCGCAAGCCUGAUCCAGCAAUGCCGCGUGCGGGAAGAAGGCCUUCGGGUUGUAAACCGCUUUUGGCAGGAACGAAACGGUGUCCGCUAAUACCGGGCGCUAAUGACGGUACCUGCAGAAUAAGCACCGGCUAACUACGUG